rnacentral:tRNA from 1 species
GCCGUGAUCGUCUAGUGGUUAGGACCUUACGUUGUGGAGGUCUGCAAAACCAUAGUAACCCAGGUUCGAAUCCUGGUCACGGCA